UCGGAUGUAAUUUUAAAAGAACAAUUAAGCUAGGAUCAUGAAACACGAUUGAAGUAUGAAGAUGAUAUCUCGGAUAUAAACGAAAAGAUAUUUGAAGAAAUAAUAAUUGCUAUAUCCUGAAGACAAAUUAAUUUCAAGAAAAUGUGAAGAAUCAUCAUCAAAAGAAGGAAAUACCUGCUGCUCUGUCAGUAAUUAUGCAAUCUACUGUCUUAGAAAAUGAUUUACAAAAUAUAUCUAUUACGAAAUAGAAACGGAAUACAAAGAGAUAGAUGUAAUAUGUACAUAUUUACCCAAGUAAAUAAUACUUUUUUAUUCAUCGAAA
rnacentral:lncRNA from 1 species